rnacentral:SRP_RNA from 1 species
GCCAGGCAUAGUGGCACAUGCCUGUAGUCCAAGCUACUUGGGAGGCUGAGACAGGGGAUCCUUUGAGUCCAGGAGUUUGAGGCUGCACUGAGUUAUGAUCAUGCCACUGCAGUCCUGCCUGGGCAACAGAGUGAGACCCUGUCUCUA